rnacentral:rRNA from 1 species
UACGAAGGGGGCUAGCGUUGCUCGGAAUCACUGGGCGUAAAGGGUGCGUAGGCGGGUCUUUUAAGUCAGGGGUGAAAUCCUGGAGCUCAACUCCAGAACUGCCUUUGAUACUGAGGAUCUUGAGUUCGGGAGAGGUGAGUGGAACUGCGAGUGUAGAGGUGAAAUUCGUAGAUAUUCGCAAGAACACCAGUGGCGAAGGCGGCUCACUGGCCCGUUACUGACGCUGAGGCACGAAAGCGUGGGGAGCAAACAGGG